UUACUUGACAGUUUAUUGCUUUCACAGGAAAAUAUAGAGAUACAUUAACAGGAGUGGACCAAUCAGGCUGAUUUAGUGUGCUGCUUGCAACAUUUGCAGGUGGUGGUUCAAUGGGCCAAGAAAAUUUCUGUAGUGGUUAGAUGCACACUAGGGCAUGAAUUUGAAUCUCACAAUGGGAAUCUCCAUGCUUGAUUAAUGUAAACCACCUUGGGUAGGGCUGAGUCAGUCGGACUUGAAGGAGUGCCCACGAUUCCCGCUGCCUAAACCUCUCGUGUCACUCCUCGCAGGAAAAUCAAGUAGCUGAAGAAUGUUGAAGCAUACCAAAACAAAAGUAGCAGCAUGAAGCCAAAAAUUGUUCCUGCAUUACAUAAUCUCCCUGAAAAUCUGUUGAGCUCAGUGGUGCUGCAGUGAUUUAACCUCUUUGCCGGACUCACGCAUCUGGUCUGCUAUGCAAGCUUCUUUCACCAAUUCAUUUUUGAACUUGGAAGCUUUUGAAUCUCAGGUGAGCAACAACUUCUCUUACAUGGAAAAUUUCUUCCUACAGUCAUAUGGUGAUGACGGUCGUGUAAUGUUCUCGUGAAUUGAUCACAGAUGGUUCAAUCUCGUCUAUUGUUAUGUUAGUUUCCCAUGUAUUCAAUUGGUUUGUAAUUCUGUUUAAAGUUAUUCAAGGGAUUGGUGCCUUGUGGAAAUGCCUUCCCCUUUCAAAAAGAGAAACCCAAUUGUUUUUGUUUCGA